rnacentral:rRNA from 1 species
AUGGAUUUGGAUGCUUCGUUGGACGAGGAGUAUGGAAUGACAGAGCUUGACCAAAUGAUUCAAGAUGAGUUCUUCGAUUUGUCGAAUUCGGAUGAAGAAGUGGACAUUGUUAGACUAUAUUUAUAUUUAGCUUAUGUAUAUGGCAUGUAUCUUGUAUUUGUAGUACUAGUACUACGAUUAUUAUUCAGACUACGUAUGGGAAUCGAGAUGAAGAACAUGAAGACGAGGAGGCCAUCCUCGAGGCGGUUGGCGUCGGUGGAGCGGCGGAACGUGAGGCGGCUCAUCACCCUGGGUCCAAACCGGCAACACCAGGGGAUUCCUUCCUUUCCUUCCUGA